CUUUUUAUUUCCCUAGUUUUAUUUACAGAUCAUUGCAUUGAAAGACAUGUGCUCACGACUUUAAAGAAGACUUUUGUGAACAAAUUUUGUGCCAGCCUAAAGAACUGAACUGUCACUGAAAAUGUUUGAGAGAACUAGAUGCAUACAAUGAUGUAUUGGCAUAAACAAAAAACAGCAAUCCCUAAAGUAAUUGCAAGACCAUGUAAUGAUUACAUUUGUACUUUACAUAAAUAAUAAAUACUGGGCAAUAUUAAAUACAUAACGAUAUGCCUUGUUGGUAACAACAACAAAAAAUACAAUGGCAACCUAAGUGAACACACACACACAUAUAUAUAUAUAUGUAUAUAUUAGGGGUGCACCGGAUAGUCACUCCGGCUCCGGCUUCUGCCGAAUAUCCGGCAUUAUUUACUAUCCGGUGCUAUUCGGCUCCGGUCGGAUAUCACUACCGGAUAGUAAAAAAUAUACCUAUUUAAUAUGCCUAAAGUGGACCUCGUUCCAUUAAUGUCUGUUGCAGAAUGAAUUAAUGUUAAUAUUAAAACAAAAUAAUGUGCUUAAAUAUAGAGCCAUUAUGAAUAUGCACCAAACAUCGUUUAUUAUAAAGACAAAGCAUGUUAAUAACUUAAUAUAAAUAGAAAUGAAACUUUACAUCAUAAAUGCGCUUUACAUACAGAGCAGCAAUGGCUGACACUUUUUUCAAUUUGUCUUGACCUUUGAGUGUAACGUGUUAAAAUGCUAUAUUCCUUGACUACGUCAUGCUGACCAGACGUCUGUCUAGCUGUGCUGGUAUAUCUUCAGAGGUAGAGAUGAACAACUCCCACCCCUUUUAUUUGCUUAGUCCAUCACAUUAAGUUUUUUUUUUAUAUGCAGAUGACCACAAGUUAAAUACGAUGGAUGUAGGUUUCAUGUCAGCGUAUUGACACUCUCUAGAGGUCACGCCUUUUGAGGGAACUGAGUUUGUUUAUUUAGUAGUUAAUCUUUAUUAGGGGGGCUGGACUACAAGAGCCACACCUCUAAGGUAACUAGGACUAGGUAUAUUUCCAGAUGAGCAGCUCCCUCCCCCUUUUAUUUGUUUAGUUCAUCACAUGAGUUCAUUGAUUGACAGGUGACCCCAAGUCAGAUCUUAAUUGGGGGGGGGGGGGGGGGGGGGGGGA